rnacentral:rRNA from 1 species
AGUGAACGCUGGCGGUAGGCCUAACACAUGCAAGUCGAACGGCAGCACAGUAAGAGCUUGCUCUUACGGGUGGCGAGUGGCGGACGGGUGAGGAAUACAUCGGAAUCUACUUUUUCGGGGGGGAUAACGGAGGGAAACUGACGCUAAUACCGCAUACGACCUACGGGUGAAAGCAGGAGAUCUUCGGACCUUGCGCGAUUGAAUGAGCCGAUGUCGGAUUAGCUAGUUGGCGGGGUAAAGGCCCACCAAGGCGACGAUCCGUAGCUGGUCUGAGAGGAUGAUCAGCCACACUGGAACUGAGACACGGUCCAGACUCCUACGGGAGGCAGCAGUGGGGAAUAUUGGACAAUGGGCGCAAGCCUGAUCCAGCCAUACCGCGUGGGUGAAGAAGGCCUUCGGGUUGUAAAGCCCUUUUGUUGGGAAAGAAAAGCAGCAGGUUAAUACCUCGCUGUUCUGACGGUACCCAAAGAAUAAGCCCCGGCUAACUUCGUG